AAAAAUUUUUAAGUUAAUUUGCUGACUUGUUAAUUCUUUUACAAAUAAAAAUACAUAAUUAAUGGUUGUUGAUGGAGAAAAAACAUAGAAAGGAGAGAGAUUUAACGACAAGAAAAAUAGCUAAAUGCUUUUCAUGCAUCGUAUAAGCUUGUUGAAUAAUUGGCACCAAUUUUGUCUACAAAGUAACAGGAGCUUCAAAUUUUAAUAAGCUAUCCCAACUCCAAGCUUUCUCACAGGAGAUAAUAAGAUAACCACCUAUCAACCAUUGCUAGACACUCCUUAGGCUUGUACUCUGGAGCUGUAUGACCCCCUCCCUUUACAGUGAUAAAGACCAAACCGUCUCCAACUUUGUGAGCAUAUUUCUCUGUGAAUCCCGCUAUUUGGCCCUCAACAAACCAAGGUCUCCAAUCAUCAACAACGGUUAAAUUAAGAGUGUAAAUCCAUGCUACUGUACCAGUGUAAGGAAUUAGCAUGUCAUGGUCACCACUGUAUACCAGAGCUCGAUAGCCAGUCAUGAUGAGUUCUUUAUGGUAAAAGACAGUACUCAAUAUGUCAUAAUCAUAAGCCAGGGUUUUGUUACACCUCAUCCAAUCUGUUAUGGUAUCAUUUCGAACGUGAAGAGCAUGCUGCACGCCUUCAUCAUUUGCCCAGAUGUAAGAGAGUACAUAAUUUGAAUUCUGCAAAGAAGCACAAGAUUUACAAGAUUUGCAGUUUGAGAUUAGGGUCUAAUAGAGCUAAUCUAAUAUCUGGUGGAUUGCAAGGACUUCUAUCUUAUUAAGGGAGAGAGAGAGAUUUACUCGGCACCAAUUGUCAGGGCCUUGCUGCGAUGAUAAAGCAAUGUCUAUAGGAGUGUCAUCGAAAAAUUUGCGUCCCCACUUCAAGCCCAUUGGUUUUGGUGAUGCAAAACUGCAUUUUGGUUCCAAUAUUUGGGCAUCACAUACUUUUAUAGUGCACUACAAGUUCACACAUUCUCAUUAGUUUAACAAUAAAUAAAUAAAUAAAGGAUACAUUAGAUUGUGAAGAAAAAUGAUAACUCUAUUUAUUUUCCCCCCUCCAUUCAACAACUGAGAGAGAUUUUUUCAAACCUCUGCAAUAUGUUGUAUAGUAUUCAUACAUUCAGCAUUGCUUGCAUUUGGUGAUAUAUAUUCUCCAACACAGUAUGUUUUGGCUGCCUUAAACAGUUCACUCGAUAUAAGUCCCAACCUGUAGAAAUAUUCAACUCUGGAAUUCUCAUCAUUAUGCAAAUCUGUUACUGGAUUACCAAGGAUGUAUCCCUGGAGAUUCAAGUAUGGCUUGUGUUUAGCCCUGUUUCCUUCUGCUACUUCUACAGUAACGGUGGGAACAAUCAUGCCAGAAUAAGAAUCACCAGCGAUAUAAAGUGGAUUAUUGAUGAAUUUGGGAUGAUUUGUUAUCCACUUCCUAAGAAACUCAUAAAUUGCCUUUGACGAUAAUGUGUCAGAGGUAUAAUAACUUUCUUGGCUUUUUGAGUAGGAAAAUCCAGUGCCAACUGGUGAAUCCAAAAAUAUAAUAUUUGCAACCUUUGUCCAUGUGUAUUGAUUUAGUACAAGUGAUGGCAAACUUCCAUUGAAAGCAUCAAAAUCAAAAUUUAGCGGACCUACAAAAAAUUUCAGAAAUCCAUCAGACAUGUUCAAAAGAAUUUGCUUGGUAAUUACCAGAUUUUUCAGAUACUAGAGCAUUUUGGAAUAGCUUAUGCCAAGAGCUACAAUAUUUUUUUAUUUUCCCAUUUCUUCUCCCAAGUUAAGGCAUAGAACUUAACAGUAAGAGACUGGAAAUAUUAAAAUCAACAAAGCAACAAACUUCCCUCCCACCAAUCAUUCCAAAUUAGAUGGAUUGAUUUAUGUGGGGCCAGCUAAUAGAAAGAAAACUGGUCUUUCUUUCCUUCUCAAGUUUCCUUUUAACCAAAUAAAGGAUUUUUUUUCUUCAUCUCAUCCCUCCUCUCCUCUUCCUUUCCUCCAUUCUUCCACGCAUCCCAACAUGGUGCAACUGUUUGACUUUCUUGAAGCUCUUUUCCUGGAUAUUGGAAAAGAAAAGGG
rnacentral:misc_RNA from 1 species